rnacentral:rRNA from 1 species
UACGUAGGGGGCAAGCGUUGUCCGGAUUUAUUGGGCGUAAAGAGCUCGUAGGUGGUUCGGUAAGCCGGAUGUGAAAUCUCCAGGCUCAACCUGGAGGGGUCAUUCGAUACUGCCGUGACUAGAGGUCGGUAGGGGAGUGUGGAAUUCCUGGUGGAGCGGUGAAAUGCGCAGAUAUCAGGAGGAACACCCGUAGCGAAGGCGGCACUCUGGGCCGAUACUGACACUGAGGAGCGAAAGCGUGGGGAGCGAACAGG